rnacentral:rRNA from 1 species
AGGACGAACGCUGGCGGUCUGCUUAACACAUGCAAGUCGAACGGAGUACCUCGGUACUUAGUGGCGGACGGGUGAGUAACGCGUGAGAAUCUGCCCUUAGGUCGGGGACAACCAUUGGAAACGAUGGCUAAUACCGGAUAAGCCGAGAGGUAAAAGAUUAAUUGCCUAGGGAAGAGCUCGCGUCUGAUUAGCUAGUUGGUGAGGUAAAGGCUCACCAAGGCAUCGAUCAGUAGCUGGUCUGAGAGGAUGAUCAGCCACACUGGGACUGAGACACGGCCCAGACUCCUACGGGAGGCAGCAGUGGGAAUCUUGCGCAAUGGGCGAAAGCCUGACGCAGCAACGCCGCGUGAGGGAUGAAUGCCUUCGGGUUGUAAACCUCUUUCAGCAGGGACGAUUGUGACGGUACCUGCAGAAGAACGCCCCGGCACUACGUGCCAGCAGCCGC